rnacentral:misc_RNA from 1 species
CCGAGUAUGGGGCGCGAGCCCGUACCCACACCCCCUGCUUACGCUCAAUCGUUGCUUCGGCGGGCUGCGGCCCUGUCCGCUCCCGGCGCCCCCCGUGGCGCGGGGAUGCGCCCGCCGAGGGACCAACCCAAACGCAUGGCAAACGAGUCUGUCCGAGUCGAUUGUGAAUCAGUCA